rnacentral:rRNA from 1 species
UACCAGCUCCCCGAGUGGUCUGGACGAUUAUUGGGCCUAAAGCAUCCGUAGCCGGUUCUACAAGUCUUCCGUUAAAUCCACCUGCUUAACAGAUGGGCUGCGGAGGAUACUAUAGAGCUAGGAGGCGGGAGAGGCAAGCGGUACUUAGUGGGUAGGGGUAAAAUCCGUUGAUCCAUUGAAGACCACCAGUGGCGAAGGCGGCUUGCCAGAACGCACUCGACGGUGAGGGAUGAAAGCUGGGGGAGCAAACCGG